CUUUCUUUGUCAGCCUCCUUGACAACAAAUGGUUUGCCUGAGAGCACAGAUAGCAAAGAGUCAGACCUACAGCCAAGUGAAGAGAAAGUCCACAGUGAUUCUCCAGGAUCCGAAUCCGAGGUUUCCUCACUGAGCCCUGU